UACGUAGGGUGCGAGCGUUGUCCGGAAUUACUGGGCGUAAAGAGCUCGUAGGUGGUUUGUCGCGUUGUCCGUGAAAACUCACAACUCAAUUGUGGGCGUGCGGGCGAUACGGGCAGACUGGAGUACUGCAGGGGAGACUGGAAUUCCUGGUGUAGCGGUGAAAUGCGCAGAUAUCAGGAGGAACACCAGCGGCGAAGGCGCUGCUCUGGGCCGGUACUGACGCUGAGGAGCGAAAGCGUGGGGAGCGAACAGG
rnacentral:rRNA from 1 species